rnacentral:rRNA from 1 species
CUACGGGUCGCUCCAGUGGGGAAUAUUGCACAAUGGGCGCAAGCCUGAUGCAGCCAUGCCGCGUGUAUGAAGAAGGCCUUCGGGUUGUAAAGUACUUUCAGCGGGGAGGAAGGGAGUAAAGUUAAUACCUUUGCUCAUUGACGUUACCCGCAGAAGAAGCACCGGCUAACUCCGUGCCAGCAGCCGCGGUAAUACGGAGGGUGCAAGCGUUAAUCGGAAUUACUGGGCGUAAAGCGCACGCAGGCGGUUUGUUAAGUCAGAUGUGAAAUCCCCGGGCUCAACCUGGGAACUGCAUCUGAUACUGGCAAGCUUGAGUCUCGUAGAGGGGGGUAGAAUUCCAGGUGUAGCGGUGAAAUGCGUAGAGAUCUGGAGGAAUACCGGUGGCGAAGGCGGCCCCCUGGACGAAGACUGACGCUCAGGUGCGAAAGCGUGGGGAGCAAACAGGAUUAGAUACCCGAGUAGUC